AUAAGAAAGUUUCUAAAAAGAGUAAAAAAAAAAUGAUGGUUGUGACAUGUGUUAGAAAACUUAUGUUGGUAAUGAUGGAAUUGCUUAUCCAUAUUCUCCUAAGUGUGUGAGCCAACUAUCGUGCCCCUACCUCAUUCUCUUUGUCUCCACCUCCCAUCCUGCCUCCUUAUUACUUUGAACUUGGUGAUGGAACAAUAAAGUGGUGCCUUACAGUUGGAGUUGAAAAACAAUGUGCAAGUAUCAAAGGCCCAUGGCGAUUUCCCGACCUUGAAUAUGAAAUUUGUAUUAAUAGUGCUUUUAAACACUGCUUAGAUAAUUAUUGGGUUCAUGGAGACGAAAAAGUGCUUCUUAUCAUUAAAGAUUGCAUCCAAACCAACUGCCACCCAAAAUUAAAAAUUAGAGUUGUUCAUCGUAGAAGUGCCCGUUAUGUGAGUUGUUUAUUAGAAUGUUAUGUUGAGAAUGUCAAGACCCCCUCAAAUGCCAUUCAUACGCUGCAUCCUUGAGUUCCACCUUUUGAUUAGGGAUUCCACUAUUUCUGAGUAUGCAAGUCAGAAGAAAUUCAAGUUCCCUGUAAGCCGUCGGGACGAUUGAGCCAUCCCGUCCGGACGCCUAUCUGUCCACUGAUCCAUCCGUCUGGACGACGUGUCAUCCCGUCUGGACGCUAGAUAGACCAGCAUGAAGUGUUCAUUCCGUCCGGACCCCAUACUGUAUCGAGAAGUUUCUGUACCAGCUUGCAUCCAUCCGAACGUUUCAGCAGCAUGUCCGGACACCUCCCAGUACUCGAUCAGUUUCUGAUUUCUUUCCAAGUUCCAAGAAAGGGAAGAUCAAUCAACCGUCCGGACGAUGUGGUAUCCCAUCCGGACGCGCGUCUCCGUAAGGCAAGAAUCGCAAUUCAAAUAUGACCGUCCGAAAGUCUGACAGCUGUGGUCCGGACGCGCGUCCAUCAAAGAAGGAAAUUGCCGAUUCGACUUCAACCGUCCGGAUGACUGCCUAUCAUGGUCCGGACGUGCGCAUUACCGAUAUGGAAAUUGCGUGUUGAAGAAUAGCCGUCCGGACGCCCAUCCCCAAUGGUCCGGACGCUUGAGAGCCUUAUAAGGAAAUUACUUGCAGCGGAUGUGCGACCGUCCGGACGAUGUGCCAUCCCAUCCGGACGAUGUUCUUAAACAUGAAAGAUUUCUCCGCGGGAAUUUCGGAAAAUCUGUUCGCACAGUUGUUCGUCCGGACGGCCCGUGUCCACCGUCCGGACGGUGCCUAGGUAUAUUUUGCCUGACGCUCAUUUGAGCCCCCAGCCUAUAAAUAGAGGCCCCUGGGUACUGUGAACUGCAAGAAUUCGGUGUGAAUUCCAUUAGAGCUUAGAGAAGUUAUCAAUCCCUCUGAAGCCGUUUUACAAGUGUGCUGUGUUGUAAACCGAAGUCUAUCUUAGAGGUCGGCUCUAAGGUAAGGAGUUCCAUUGAAGACCCCUUCCGGUAGGUGAACCUGGUUGGGAAGCAUUCGUGUUGGGUUACACGUUAGAGAUCAAGGUACGACCACUGCAUCGGUACAUGUGAGUGUUACUGUCUUUUAUCUAGCUAUGUCUUCUGAAUAGUGGAAUUCCUGGGUUUGGCUGCCCCGGAGUGGUUUUUCUCUUAACUGAGUUUCCACUUCGUCAACAAAAAUCUGUGUGUCAUUUACUGUAACGCCCCGCUUUUACUCAAUAUCUUAAAAUAUGGGGUAUUACAUCCCUUUCCCCU